GACGAACGCUGGCGGCGUGCUUAACACAUGCAAGUCGAACGGAAAGGCCCUGCUUUUGUGGGGUGCUCGAGUGGCGAACGGGUGAGUAACACGUGAGUAACCUGCCCUUGACUUUGGGAUAACUUCAGGAAACUGGGGCUAAUACCGGAUAGGAGCUCCUGCUGCAUGGUGGGGGUUGGAAAGUUUCGGCGGUUGGGGAUGGACUCGCGGCUUAUCAGCUUGUUGGUGGGGUAGUGGCUUACCAAGGCUUUGACGGGUAGCCGGCCUGAGAGGGUGACCGGCCACAUUGGGACUGAGAUACGGCCCAGACUCCUACGGGAGGCAGCAGUGGGGAAUAUUGCACAAUGGGCGGAAGCCUGAUGCAGCAACGCCGCGUGCGGGAUGACGGCCUUCGGGUUGUAAACCGCUUUCGCCUGUGACGAAGCGUGAGUGACGGUAAUGGGUAAAGAAGCACCGGCUAACUACGUGCCAGCAGCCGCGGUGAUACGUAGGGUGCGAGCGUUGUCCGGAUUUAUUGGGCGUAAAGGGCUCGUAGGUGGUUGAUCGCGUCGGAAGUGUAAUCUUGGGGCUUAACCCUGAGCGUGCUUUCGAUACGGGUUGACUUGAGGAAGGUAGGGGAGAAUGGAAUUCCUGGUGGAGCGGUGGAAUGCGCAGAUAUCAGGAGGAACACCAGUGGCGAAGGCGGUUCUCUGGGCCUUUCCUGACGCUGAGGAGCGAAAGCGUGGGGAGCGAACAGGCUUAGAUACCCUGGUAGUCCACGCUGUAAACGGUGGGUACUAGGUGUGGGGUCCAUUCCACGGGUUCCGUGCCGUAGCUAACGCUUUAAGUACCCCGCCUGGGGAGUACGGCCGCAAGGCUAAAACUCAAAGGAAUUGACGGGGCCCCGCACAAGCGGCGGAGCAUGCGGAUUAAUUCGAUGCAACGCGUAGAACCUUACCUGGGUUUGACAUGGAUCGGGAGUGCUCAGAGAUGGGUGUGCCUCUUUUGGGGUCGGUUCACAGGUGGUGCAUGCCUGUCGUCAGCUCGUGUCGUGAGAUGUUGGGUUAAGUCCCGCAACGAGCGCAACCCUUGUUCACUGUUGCCAGCACGUUAUGGUGGGGACUCAGUGGAGACCGCCGGGGUCAACUCGGAGGAAGGUGGGGAUGACGUCAAGUCCUCAUGCCCCUUAUGUCCAGGGCUUCACGCAUGCUACAAUGGCUGGUACAGAGAGUGGCGAGCCUGUGAGGGUGAGCGGAUCUCGGAAAGCCGGUCUCAGUUCGGAUUGGGGUCUGCAACUCGACCUCAUGAAGUCGGAGUCGCUAGUAAUCGCAGAUCAGCAACGCUGCGGUGAAUACGUUCCCGGGGCU
rnacentral:rRNA from 1 species